rnacentral:rRNA from 1 species
GCUCCCUACGGGGCGCAGCAGUGGGGAAUAUUGCACAAUGGGGGAAACCCUGAUGCAGCGACGCCGCGUGAAGGAAGAAGUAUUUCGGUAUGUAAACUUCUAUCAGCAGGGAAGAAAAUGACGGUACCUGACUAAGAAGCCCCGGCUAACUACGUGCCAGCAGCCGCGGUAAUACGUAGGGGGCAAGCGUUAUCCGGAUUUACUGGGUGUAAAGGGAGCGUAGGCGGUGCAGCAAGUCAGAAGUGAAAGCACGG